ACAAAAUAGAGCUUUCAUGACACUUACUAAAUUUUUUAAUGACAUUUUUUUAUUAAAAACGUUAUUAAAAUAAAUUGAUGACACAACUAAAAAAACCAACGGGAAGGAUUUAUAAAAAAGAAGAGCGUCGCGUGAAUUCCUCAAAACUUCCUAAGCCCUCACGACUCAUUCACUCCACUACCCAACCCACUCCCAGCCAACUCCCAGAUAAAGAAUGAAAUAUCAAUGCUCUCUUUCUCCUCAAGACGGAAGACUCAUUGUCUUUCUAUCUCUCCCUCUCUUUCUCUCUCUCUCUGGGACGCCCAUAGUCUUCAUCACACAGUCUUCAUCGAGAGUACUCACUGUCUUUCUAUCUCUCCCUCUCUUUCUCUCUCUCUGGGACGCCCACAGUCUUCAUCAACCAGAUUGAUUGUUUUCCCCAAAUUUCACUCAAAACCUAAUUGUGUAUGAAUGGAUAAAUCUUGGAUGUCUAUGGAUAGAAGAACAAUCUUGAUGGAUUGUUUGGAUUUGUAGAUCCUGGCAGAAUCCCUCAAAAGGCUAGCAGAAAGGAACAAAGAUCAAAUGCACUGGCUCUUAGAUUACAGAACUGCAAAAAAGGACAAUUAAUUUUUGCUCCGUAUAACAAAGGGUUAUUAGUACAAUGUGUUUUGAAUUUUUUGUUCCUAACAAAUCAGUAGUUGACCAUUGUGUAAUAAAGAAUGCAAUUAUUUAUGUUUUGUAGGUUUCAUUGGUUGUUGGCUAUUAUUGACCCCUAUGAGGAAUUAGUGUAUUAUAUGGACUCACUUAAUUGGAUACAGAUAGAUCCUGGAAUGAAGGACAUUGUUGAACGGUAAGUAUUUGGAUAUACGUUUGUCCUUAUUUCAUGCAUUUCAAGAUAUGAAUAUAUUCAUGUGUUCUUAUCCUCUAUGUGCAGAUCACUGAAGAUGUUUAAAGCUCAAAAGGGAAUAAAGGGUCGAAAAAAAUAUCAAUUGGAAAGUAGUAAAGGUAAGGAACAUUGUGUUUUGACUUUAAAUUAAUCUGACUAACUUAUAUUUUAUACUUUGUUAUUUGUAUAUGCAAUGCCCUUUGCAAGAAGGAACUGUAGAAUGUGGAUAUUAAGUGAUGAAAUACAUGAAGGAAACCAUUGAUGAUCCGAACUGCUCAAUUAUUACCAAGUUCAAAGAAAAAGCUACAUACACUCAACAGGAAAUUGAUGCAUUAAGAAUAGAGUGGGCUGAGUAUGUUGAUGACUUCAUCCCAAUAGAUGAAACACUAGAUUAGCUAGUUUGUGAAAUUUAAAUUAAGUGAACUAGUUUUAGUUUAGUAGGAAACUCUACACAUUAUAUUGUCUUUUGUAAUACUUUGGUAGUGGAUGAAUUACAAAUUUAUGAAGCAAUAUUGUUUAA